rnacentral:rRNA from 1 species
UGGGGAAUAUUGGACAAUGGGCGCAAGCCUGAUCCAGCCAUGCCGCGUGAGUGAUGAAGGCCCUAGGGUUGUAAAGCUCUUUCACCGGUGAAGAUAAUGACGGUAACCGGAGAAGAAGCCCCGGCUAACUUCGUGCCAGCAGCCGCGGUAAUACGAAGGGGGCUAGCGUUGUUCGGAUUUACUGGGAGUAAAGCGCACGUAGACGGACUAUUAAGUCAGGGGUGAAAUCCCGGGGCUCAACCCCGGAACUGCCUUUGAUACUGGUAGUCUUGAGUUCGAGAGAGGUGAGUGGAAUUCCGAGUGUAGAGGUCAAAGUCGUAGAUAUUCGGAGGAACACCAGUGGCGAAGGCGGCUCACUGGCUCGAUACUGACGCUGAGGUGCGAAAGCGGGGGGAGCAAACAGG